rnacentral:rRNA from 1 species
UACGUAGGGUGCAAGCGUUACUCGGAAUUACUGGGCGUAAAGCGUGCGCAGGCGGUCUUGCAAGUCAGAUGUGAAAUCCCCGGGCUCAACCUGGGAACUGCAUUUGUGACUGCAAGGCUGGAGUGCGGCAGAGGGGGAUGGAAUUCCGCGUGUAGCAGUGAAAUGCGUAGAUAUGCGGAGGAACACCGAUGGCGAAGGCAAUCCCCUGGGCCUGCACUGACGCUCAUGCACGAAAGCGUGGGGAGCAAACAGG